rnacentral:rRNA from 1 species
UACGUAGGGGGCAAGCGUUGUCCGGAUUUAUUGGGCGUAAAGAGCGUGUAGGCGGCUUUACAGGUCCGUUGUGAAAACUCGAGGCUCAACCUCGAGACGCCGGUGGAAACCGUAAGGCUAGAGUCCGGAAGAGGAGAGUGGAAUUCCUGGUGUAGCGGUGAAAUGCGCAGAUAUCAGGAGGAACACCCGUGGCGAAAGCGGCUCUCUGGGACGGUACUGACGCUUAGACGCGAAAGCGUGGGGAGCAAACAGG